UUUCAAAAACGUAGAUGUCAAAUGAAAAUAUCUACAAUCUAAUUCUACUUGCAAAGUGUUCUUAGAACCCUAGCCAGCUCUACAGAUCAAGUUAUUGUCAUGCUUAACUCUCCCUAGCCUCACUGCUCUUGCACUCCCCCUUGCUUUAUCCUGCUCCUCUCCCUGAAUGUCGCAUCACAUCAGUGGCAUGCUUAUGCAUCUGGGCUAUAACUGCAUUUUUAUUUUCUUUUGCACUGUCUUUUGAAGAGCAAAAAUCUUUAAUUUUAAUAGUUUAAUUCAUCAGUACUUUGGGUUUGUACUUUUUGUGUCAUAUCCAUGAAAUCUUUGCCUAAUCCAAGGUCAUAAAAUUUUUCUCCAAAAGUUUAUUCUAGAGUUUUACAAUUUUAGCUCUAUGUUUGGGUAUAUCAUCUGUGUUUUUUUUUUUUCUUUUAUGAAUAGUGUGACAUAAGGGUUAAAGUUCAUUUUUUUCUAUAUGGCUAUCCAAUUGUUCCAAUACUAUUUGCUUAAAAGACUAUCACUUCUCCCAUUGAACUGGCACCUUUGACCCAAAUCGACUCCAUAUGUAAGAAUCUAUUUCCAAUUUGCUUGUCCAUCUUUAUUCCAAUAUGAUAUUGUCUUCAUUACUGUAGUUUUUAAUAUGUCUUGAAAACAAGUAGCAUAAGCCCAUCUAAAUUUUCUUUUUCAAC
rnacentral:lncRNA from 1 species